ACCGGACUGGUCCAACGGCGAGGACGCGUGGCUCUGAACCACGAGGUCGGGGUUCGACUCCCUGGUCCGGUA
rnacentral:tRNA from 1 species